GUGAAGAACGUAGCGAAAUGCGAUAAGUAAUGUGAAUUGCAGAAUUCAGUGAAUCAUCGAAUCUUUGAACGCACAUUGCGCCCCCUGGCAUUCCGGGGGGCAUGCCUGUUCGAGCGUCAUUACAACCCUCAAGCUCUGCUUGGUAUUGGGCUCUGCUGGGACCGGCAGGCCUUAAAAUCAGUGGCGGCGCCACUCGGCUUCAAGCGUAGUAAUUCUUCUCGCUUCGGAGACCCGGGUGCGUGCUAGCCAGCAACCCCCAACUUUCUUAGGUUGACCUCGGAUCAGGUAGGGAUACCCGCUGAACUUAAGCAUAUCAAUAAGCGGAGGA
rnacentral:misc_RNA from 1 species